CCUACGGGAGACAGCAGUGGGGAAUAUUGCGCAAUGGGCGAAAGCCUGACGCAGCGACGCCGCGUGAGGGAUGAAGGUCUUCGGAUCGUAAACCUCUGUCAGCAGGGAAGAACGGUCACUGUGCUAAUCAGCAGUGAAUUGACGGUACCUGCAAAGGAAGCACCGGCUAACUCAGUGCCAGCAGCCGCGGUAAUACGGAGGGUGCGAGCGUUAAUCGGAACUACUGGGCGUAAAGCGCUCGUAGGCGGUAUGUCAAGUCAAGGGUGAAAUCCCCGCGCUCAACGUGGGAACUGCCUUUGAAACGGGCAAACGGGAGUGUUGGAGAGGAUAGUGGAAUUCCAGGUGUAGGAGUGAAAUCCGUAGAUAUCUGGAGGAACAUCAGUGGCGAAGGUGAGUAUCUGGCACAUAACUGACGCUGAGGAGCGAAAGCGUGGGUAGCGAACAGGAUUAGAUACCCCUGUAGUC
rnacentral:rRNA from 1 species